CCUACGGGAGGCAGCAGUAAGGAAUAUUGGACAAUGCUCGCAAGAGUGAUCCAGCCAUGCCGCGUGCAGGAAGAAUGCCCUAUGGGUAGUAAACUGCUUUUGAACUAGAGAAAACCCCAGUACGUGUACUGGGCUGAUAGUAUAGUUAGAAUAAGCAUCGGCUAACUUCGUGCCAGCAGCCGCGGUAAGACGAAGGAUGCAAGCGUUAUCCGGAUUCAUUGGGUUUAAAGGGAGCGUAGGUGGACUUAUAAGUCAGUGGUGAAAUCUCCGAGCUUAACUCGGAAAUUGCCGUUGAUACUGUAGGUCUUGAGUACAGUUGCUGUGGGCGGAAUAUGACAUGUAGUGGUGAAAUACAUAGAGAUGUCAUAGAACACCGAUUGCGAAGGCAGCUCACAAAGCUGUAACUGACACUGAGGCUCGAAAGUGCGGGGAUCAAACAGGAUUAGAUACCCUGGUAGUCCGCACCGUAAACGAUGAUUACUCGCUGCUAGGGGGCAACCUUUAGUGGCUUAGCGAAAGCGAUAAGUAAAUCCACCUGGGGAGUACGCCGGCAACGGUGAAACUUAAAGGAAUUGACGGCUUGAGAGNGCGAGGACGACACAGGGAGAG
rnacentral:rRNA from 1 species